rnacentral:rRNA from 1 species
CCUACGGGUGGCAGCAGUGGGGAAUAUUGCGCAAUGGGCGAAAGCCUGACGCAGCGACGCCGCGUGAGGGAUGAAGGUCUUCGGAUCGUUAACCUCUUUCAGCAGGGAAGAACGGUCACUGUGCUAAUCAGCAGUGAAUUGACGGUACCUGCAAAGGACGCACCGGCUAACUCCGUGCCAGCAGCCGCGGUAAUACGGAGGGUGCGAGCGUUAAUCGGAAUUACUGGGCGUAAAGCGCUCGUAGGCGGUAUGUCAAGUCAAGGGUGAAAUCCCCGCGCGCAACGUGGGAACUGCCUUUGAAACUGGCAAACUGGAGUGUGUGAGAGGAUAGUGGAAUGCCAGGUGUAGGAGUGAAAUCCGUAGAUAUCUGGAGGAACAUCAGUGGCGAAGGCGACUAUCUGGCACAUAACUGACGCUGAGGAGCGAAAGCGUGGGUAGCAAACAGGAUUAGAUACCCUAGUAGUC